GUUUUAUUCACUCACUAUUAUACAUAUGAUGAAAGCCGAAAUCUAUGACUUCUCAAUUGUUUUUUUUUUCAACCUUUUCAUAUUUGUACUAAUCUUUAUAUAUAAAAACCUAAUUAAUUAGCAUAAGAUGCAGAGAAUAUGCACAACUACAAUUAUUCACUUAACUUUCACUCUAAUCUAAGUUUAGCUUCUUUUUUUUUUGAACUAAAAUAUAGACAUUGUUUUUUUGAAUAAAGCUUCAUAAUGACAAUUCCAUGCACGUUUUCAUGCAAAAAAGGGAAGCUUACAUAAUUAUCUUUCAACUUUUGGAAAUUCAUGUCAAAAGGUUGAUCAUAGCAUUGGAAAAACUGUCCUUGAACUCUUUCAGGGAAAUUGAGUUUAGCUUUGUUUCCUUUGAAUCUUAGAGCAGCUUCAUCAUAAGCAAGUGCUGCACCUUCCGCUGUUUCAAAAGUACCUAACCAAACCCUAGCUGCCUUUUUCGGGUCCCGAAUUUCCGCUGCCCAUUUACCCCAUGGCCUUUGACGAACUCCUCUAUAUCGCCUUCUUUCUGAAUUAAAUAACACAUGAUACCCACGCUCACAUCAAAGCUUCUAGGUGUGAGGGGCCAACCAAUAAAAAUAACUUAAAUUAUUAGACGAGAUAGUAUUCAGAUAGAAAUAAGAGAAUAUAUACCUUGAUCUUGAGUAGACGAUUGAGAUUGAUGUUGCUGAAUUAGGGUUAGUGGAUUAACAUGCACUGAGGAGGAAUCACCACUAGCUGAAGACGAAGAGUUACCAAUGACUUGAGAGAGAGCAGAAACCAUAGCAGACAUGUCAUGUUGAGAUCGAGCUGAUGAGUAUAUUGGGAAUAUGUUACUAGUGUCUUUUUCAUCCCUCUGAUCAUUAUUAGAGCUUGAUCUUUUCAUUUCUUUGAUCCAAAAAAAGAAAUCAUUCAGACAAGAGCUUAACUAGAAGCUAUGUUACUAAAAAUUAGUAAAUGAGGUGAGAAAAAGGAGUGGAGCUAGGAAGGAGGAGUGAAGAAGAUAUUAGGGUUUACUACUCUAGCUUUUUUAUGUACUUAAUGUGAAUACAUACUAGUUAUGUGGAAAAAUAAUAUACUAUUACUAUAUACGGUCCAAGACCACAAUAUUCAA